UAGCCUUUGGUUGGCCUCCAGCAUGUGUCUGUGUGUUUGUUUGUUUGUUUUUGUUGCACUGAGUCAUCUUGUAAGAUACGAGCAACAUGUCCAGCCAGCAUCCCAAGCUGCCUGUUUCAGACACUACUCAUGUUGUUACUGAUAUAACCAUCUCAUAAAAAAAAAGAGGGAUCAUUCUCAUCUUCCCCAUUAAUGCCUGUCUGCUUUUGAGAUCCUUAAGGGAAAGAGCCGGGUUUGUAAUACAGCUACCUCUGCUUCCCCCUUUACCUCAGACAACUGCAUCCUUGCACAAAGCACACAGUGGAGAUGUGCAGGGAGAACACCCCCUGGUCUGUAUUCCCUCCUCAUGUGCUGGGAUUUGAUGAGCAGGGACAUGGUGCUCUUCUGUCUGCUGGACCUCAGACACCUGAGGAAUGAUGGUGGCCGGAGAGCUGAGGGACGUGAGGGUGUCUGGAAGGGACGCACACUGCCGGGUCCUUGGGGUGAGGGCAAGAGUGAUCUCUUCCAGGUUACAUCUUCCAGAGGCUGAGGGCUGCUGUGCGUGCUGUUUCCAAUGGGACCGACCAUCUGCACCGGUGCUUGCUGUGACGUACGGGGAGGUGAGGCUCUGAGGAGCACCAGCGCUGCCUGCUGCAGGCUGGCUUGUCUGCUUUGCUGGGGACUCCAGCACGCUGACUUGUUCUGUCUGACAUGGGACCAGGAGGAGUUGUGUUGUCUGACCACAAGCUCUCAAAAAUUGCAUCUGUUGUUGCAGGAGGUGACAAGAGGAAAAGCAAAGCGGAGGCAACCUGCUCCUUCCAGAGAUCUGCAGCAGAUCAUGAGGUUGGACUGCAUCCCCAGAUUGUGGGCCAGUUGUGAGCCAAGUGUUUCUAUUGGCCAUGUUGUGAAUCCUACGGGAACUCCCUGGAGAUCACACCAAGUAGUUGAGCUUUACAAGUGUGAUGUGAAUUCAUUGCUAUCCUUAUGAUCUGACUGAGUGACCCUUUGCUUGCCAGCGUAUCAAUGCUACUUGUGAAACCCUAUCCUCCAUCAGGGCUCCCUUACUGCUGGAUUGUUUUGUUAGAAUUGGAUGACUUGUCUUCUGUCUCACAGCAGCCGUCUCUUUUGUUGGAUGACUUGUCAGCUGCUGUCUGACGUCCAUGCUGCCAUUCCUUCCUCUCUGCCAAGAGAGCCGUUGCAUUACAGCAUCAGUCACACCUCUGUGCAUACAACGCCACUGAUAAAUUGCAGUCUGGCUGGAGCAGGAGGCAUGGUCCCGAGACAGCCCUUUUGAAGGUCUGCCGUGAUCUCUCUCUGCUGGCUGACUCGGAGCCUGUGUGGUGUGGUGGAAGAGGGGAUGGAUUUGGAAAGAUGGAGUUUCGGGGUUCCAUCUGGAAGACAGAGCUCCACAACUCACCCUAUUUGCAAACACACUACUCCAAGAUUUCAACAGACAAGCCAGCCUUUGGCAGGAAUAAACCUGCUGUGCUGAUUGCUCAGAAAACCUCCCCUGGGGACAGUGGAGACCAUGGAAACACAAUACAGGUGUCCUCAGUGAUGGGCUGCUAGAGGUGGAGAGACCCCUCAGGGAGAAAUGCUGCUGGAGAGACCAACACCAGAGCUCAUGGCCCUGGGAUGGCAAUGAACCCCAGAGACAGGCUCUUUGGAGAACAUCUCCUUUGCUUUGAGGCUGCACCAUCACUUGGAAAAUGAGAUGAGGACGGAGUCCUGCAUAAACGGAGAAUUCCGUCCUCUCAAGCAGCAGCAGCUGGUCUGUCUAAGGGUGAUCUCACAGCCCACAUUUUCUGCUCUGCCAUGGAUGCAGAGGGUGAGUGCCUUCCUCAAGCUCCCUGUCCUCUCUCGGGAUCCACCCUGACCACAGGAGCAGUUGCAGAGGUAUGUGGUGUGGAGCAGAACCCGUCAUUCACGACAGGACCCUGGCCGGCUGAGGACAGCAGCUGCAGGAGUACAAGCAUUGUCUGAUCUGAUGGGGAAUGUAUGGUGACUUCAGACAGGACCAAUGCUGUGGAUCGUGUGAGCCGGGCAAUUUUGAUCAGCAAAGCUGUUUCCUGCUGAACGGCUUUCCCACAGCCGCAGAGCUUCUGCCCUGCCGGUUCCCCUGGCCUGCUCCAAGAAGGAAACCCUAGAGAGGAGGCAUCAUUCCCAGCUCUCCUCAGGCGCAUUUGCUGUUUGGCAGAGAAGAUGGGACAAUCCUCCAGCCCCAAAGAAGAGUAUCUUUGAGCUCUUGCUAGAAGACCGGAUCUCUCCAUGGCAGCAGAUGUGGGACUAAGUGAAGAAUUCCAUUUACUUGAUGGUUUUAGCCAUGGAAAACUUCAUAGAAAUGCUCUAAGGUGCUUUUUAACUGCAAGUGUGUAGUAGGAUUUGUGACACCUAACGAAGGGACCACAGGAGAGUCUCAGCAGCAGAGUAAGUUCCCAGGCUCUGGUAGGUCUGUGAUGAUGCCUUGGGCUGCAAGCCACAUUCUCACCAGGGCUGUCACUUAUAAAUGAAACAUCUCAGCAGCACAGAUCUGAUCCAGGGCUGGCUUCAGCUUCUGCUGUGUUAUUCGUGAGUAUGCAAAAGCUCUGAAAAAUGUGACAGACUUUGGUUUAGGUUCUCAGCUCAACAUUGCUUCUCAUGAGAUGGAGUAUGAGCGUGUCCUCGUUAACACAGGAAUGUAUACACUGGAAGCUGUGAGAUAAUGGCAUAUAUACAGGGAAAGUGAAGUCUUUGCUGUUCUGCUCUCAGUGGGUUUGUUUUCACUUCCCUCCCAACAGCAGCACUUUGCUGACAAACUACAAGCAGUCACAAACCACGGCAGUGUGGUUCAAAUCAGCCUGAAAAUGUUUUGCCCCAGAAUUGCUUUUGCUUGGUGUUUUGCAAGAGGUCAUUUCCUUGUGGGCAUGGAUGAUUAGAAGCCCCUCCAUGUGUGCUUUGCCAAAGUGAGCACUCAACAAAGAGUUCAGCUGAAAAUUUGGCUCUUGUUCCCUUUUUAAGCAAUGUGCUCAGCCCUCUUGGGUAAAGAUCCACAGGGGCUCAGCACCAUCCCUAAAUCCUUAAAGAGUUUUGGCCUGGCUGCUGUGGGUGACUCCCAUGGACAGACAGGACACUCUCUGCAGAGCUGUAAUUUCUCUAACAUACUUGGGAGCCUCUGCACUUUCCUAAUGGGACAGGAUUCAGUCUUGUUUCCUGAGAAGUAAGUGGGAGUUUUCCUGUUGAUUUCCAUGAAAGCUGAUCUGGGAGUGCCAUUUAUAUGAAGGGAGCUGCUGUGCCUUGGGUCCAGCCUUUCCCACAUCCAUAGCAACUGGCCUCUGCUUUUUAAUGCUCUGUUCACAAAUAAACACUUUGUCGGGGGUGGGGGGGGGGCAAAUGAAGCCCAAAUCUGCACUGGGCUGUCCCAGCCAUGCAUGUGCUGGGUGAGAUGUGACGCAUCUUGUGACACAUUUGCUUCUAGCAAAUAGGUCUAUCUGGCCAUGCCCAAGCUGAGGAAUCUGGUCUGGGUGCUUGUUUUGGCUGUUUCUGCUCUCCACAUGAAGUGCAGACCUGGGUGUGCAGCAUCCCCAUUGUCUCUGCCUCCAAACCCCUGUGCCUGGGACGUGCUGCAGCCUUGAAGGUGCCUUAUGUGGGUGCUGGGGAUGGAGCCCUGAGCUGUGCUGUGGCACCCCCAGCAGCCAAGAGACACAACUGGCGGUGCCUGGUGCAGAUGUGAAAACAGCAUCUGUACAGAUCCUGCCUCUGUGUCCCAAGCGCGUGUGAUACUGCAGCUUCAAGCACCCACUUAUGAGGACAGUGCUGGCUGCUCUGCAUUAGCUUGGGGAGCUUUUCUGUCCCAGCCUUUCCCUGGGGAGAAGAUGGUAGCAGCUCGCAAUGCAUUUUUGGUUUAUCAGUGGAGAGGUACCUGUAUUGAAGAGCAAAGUGUUAUUGCUCUUGUACGGUCCUGGUUUUGAUAACACCAGAUGGGUUUGAAGUAAAUAGAGUUCCUAUGUCAAACACAAGUAAUAGCUGAAAUACAUGUAUAUGAAGUGCUAUGAGUUUUAUUUACUGAAAACUAGUGACUCGCAACGGAUUCCUGCAGCACUAGUUGGAUACGUGACAGGGAGAUCAUUGAAAAGGUCACCAUUGGUUUGAAAUGAAGGCAAUGAAAAAUGAGUGUCUUGUACUAAAACUGUUCCUGGAGAUGUUGGCCAAGUAUUGCAGUCUUGCUUUUCUAUUUUUAAAACUCCCUUGCCAGCUGCAAUGUGACCCUUCCCUCCACACCCACAACAGAAAAAAACCUUAAUGAUUAGAAACAGGAAGUAAUAAAACUCACUAACCACAAACUAUUUUUAAAUGUACAAAGUAAACAAGCAGAGAUGGUGAGAAAUACACAUUUCCCACUGAUCUCUUUUCAGCACGGUAACCAUAGAUGAUAAUUAUAGUCACUGGCGAUUUACAGCUUUUAGGGGGAAAGUAUGUUUUUAAGUUGAUACUGUCAAACCGCAGUAAAAUAUUUUCAUCACAGCCUCUCCCAGCACAACAAUGAAGUGGCCACAAGUGCCAUGAGAUUCAUUACUGACACUGUCUAGAAGUAAAUGAAAACUUCAGGCCCCAUCUGCUCCUCUUGCCUCCCCAGUGAUGGGCAGACCACAGCACUGGUUAGCGGAGGUUCCUCUGGUGGGAGCAGCCAGGGGCACACAUGUGGCACAGUGGCUUUAUCUAAACUCAGCAAUAUGCAUGAUGAUAGAGGGGGAAGGUCUUUAAUGUCUUUUCUCUUCCAGGAUUUUGCAGUUUGCUUUGCCUGAAUGAUUUUCCUACCCCAUUUCUACAGCAAUUAGAACUGGAAUCUCCUACAGCUGCACAGGGUUAAUAAUAAAAAGCAGAAGAGAUUGGCCAUUUACCCUGUUACGCAAUGAGGUCAUCUCAGGGGCUUAUGUGAGAUCUGAAAGGUAAGCUUGAUGCCAGGGAGGGUCCUUGCUUGUUGGCUUGUAUUUUUAUUAAUAGGAAGUCAAUUAUUUUAAGAAUGUAAGACAAGAAAGCUAUGUAAUUAAUAUACACUAAAGAGGAUGAGAGAAUUCUAUACAAUAAUUUAGAUGAUUAAAUAAAUAAAAAAAUAAUAGCAGCCUUCUACAAUGCAGGCUACACAUAGGUUUACUUCGGCUUGAAGUACCCUGGUCUUUAGUACACCUACAGGAGCAGACUUGCUCCACAAGUGUUUUAAAGAAACAUAUCUAUAAGAUACAUACAUAAGAGUGUCUAAGGUUAGGAAAAACAUUUUAUAACGCAAUUUACCAUGGCCUCCACAUAUCUAAUGACCCCAUUCUAGGGUUGUUAUGGGAAAAAUUUGGCUGCAGGACCUGUCUGGGAGGUGCAGCAUCAACCUGGCUGAAAACCGACAGUGAUGGCAGCUGGAAGGAAUUUUUUGAAGCUUGCUUGUUCUCUGCAGGGUAGAAGCGCUCCUGUGAUGGGUUUGUGCCCCGAGUGCUCCCCUUAGAGCUCAGUGAGCUUUUUGGCAUGAGGAGAGGCUGCUGAGAUGGGCUCGAAGACCUUAAUGCUGCUUUGCAGGUGUCUUCGCCAGACCUGGGUAAGGAUUUCAGCAGGUGGUUCAGCAGGCGUGCCCCGAGGGUCUUGUCCAUCCACUCACAGGUGAGGAGGAGGUUGUGCACCUCAUGCAUGCACUGGAUGUACCCGGUGCUGUACCGCUGCUGGGCUUCCAGCCCCACUUUGGAGUCGGCUAUGUUGGAAAGCAGACAAGGGGAGUUGGUGAGUGAGUAAAAGCUACCGGGUGUGUUCUUGAUUAAAAGGCAGGUUUCCUGUGUGCACAGGCUCCUGGGGGCUCCUUGCUGAAGCCCACUGGGCUUUACCAUCAGGUGAAUCAUUUGCAGGGUGAAGGUGAUGCAGUGUGCAAGCCCCUGCAUCCUCCUGCCCACCACCAAGGGCAAAACUUAGAUCAAAAAGCAGAGAGCAGCUCUGGAAGGAAAAACACCUUCUGUGGGUUAACCAGUGCCCAGCUCCAUCUCCCCAUCUAGUGGAGAAAGCCAAAGCCGAGCAGCAGCCUGGGCCUCAAUAGGUUUGAAAGAUGCUUUUGCCAAGGUGCCAGUGAUUUAAACCUGCUGGCACGCUCAUACCCCAGUGCUGCCCACGCUCACAGGGUGGGGGGACCGGGCACUCACCCAUCAGCUUGCUGCUCUGGAUGUUCUGGAGGUGCUUCACCGUCAUUUCAAGGAUGUCUGCUUUUUCUAGUUUAGACUGCUGAUAAGGAAAGAGUGCAGCAGGUAGAGGCAAUGAAGGGUUUUUUGUACCAUGCCCAGUUUUUCAAAACAGAAAUCCAAUCCCCCACCAGUAAAAGGACAAAAAUCUGCGUAAAAAUGAGCACUUACAUCCAGAUGAAAUGCGCCCACAACAGUCUCCUUCAGCUGGUCCAAGCAGUUAUUAAUCCUUUCCCUUCGCUUCCGCUCAAUGAGUGGUUUCCUUAACUGGCAGAGGAAAGAAAAGGAGGAGGAAAAAUUUGAGCUGGUAUUUUUUCUUCUUCUCCCUACUGCAGUUCAGCGAGGGCAGAGAGCCCCAUCCCCUGUGUGAAGCCAGCGUGGGGUGACACGAUGCUUGGCAGGGACCAGAUAGAUAUGGAAAGUGCUCCAUCUCUGGCUCCGGUCACAACCUGUCCCUGAGGUGGUAUCAGUUCUCAAUUCUCCUGCUUCUGCUCAUUUUAAGCAGAGUUUACCCAAAUGAAGCAAACAGAAAGAAAACUUUCUGAGGCAGGAAAAGGAAACAGAAAAAACACCAAUAUGGGUUAAAUUCAGAGAAAGCAUCUUUAUAAUGAGAAGAAAAACAAUUGCUCCAUUUCUCAGUGCCUGUAGCCCCGGCACUCACCAUUCAUGUGCCCAGUGUGGCUGCGGUCACAGCAGGGCACAGGGGACCUACCUUUCUCUCCUCCUUGGUGCUGGCCAGCUUGUGGGUGCCGCUGGCAGAGGCUGCGGCGGUCAUUGCAAUCCAGGCUGCCCUGCUGCCAGGAGGACGGGACACAGGCACUCGGGCAGUGGGUCGCUCCCUUUCCCAGCGGGCUCUUUGCUGCUCCACUGCUGCUCUCUGCUGUAUUUAUAACCCAAAAUUAGCAUGUGAAAGGAGAUUUUCCUUGGCGGGACUUCUUUUCCCACAUGAGGGGUCGAGCCCGGAGGUUUGUGGCCAUCAAUCAAAGCUGACAGGUCACUGCUUCUUUUCAAUGACCACGCCAGCCCCCCCAAAUGGCGACAGAUGUCCAGCCUCCGACGCCAGGCUUUGGAGGGCUCUUUUGUUAGGGAAGAAGGGAAGGAAAAUGGGCGCGCUCUGAGCAGCUUGCAUGGCUCCUCGCGCAAUUUGCACAGAUUCCCAGGGAGGGAAACAAUAGCGGGGAAGCGGUUAAGUUACACCUGGGAAAAUGCCUGCCUUCUAUGCAUCUUUUCCCCCUCUAUCUCUCUCCUUAAAGCAAUGUCUGUUUUUACCUGUUAACUUGAGCCCCAGCCAUUUUGCUUUUUUGAAGCAGCCUCUUCAUUUAAUAAUAGAGUACUUGAGCUAGGAGUUCCCCCUCCCAGGAAUUGUUAUUACAAGGUAAUGAUGAUCGAUUAAAAACUGUUGACAGCAGACACCCAUAGGAAGGUAGUUCCCAUCACAGCAAUCCUCUAGGGAAAACAUGGGAACUCUCUUUACCUCUGGAAACCCUAAUUCUCCUUUGCACACAGCUGGAUGUAGGAAAUACGUAACUCUUCUAGUUUUUGGCUGCUGUGUAGACUUUAAUAUUAAACUUACAGGCCACUGCAGAUGCAAACAAACCUAGAGCUGAGUUAGUUCUGUGGGAUUUUUACUGCCUUGUUUUUUUCCCCUGUGCUGCAAGGACUCUUGAGUGGCUUUGGGGGGAAGGCUGUUUUUUGGUUUGCCCCUCUGAAAUGCUGGUGCAGAAGCAGCUGGGCCUUCGGAGGAGAUUUGGCACAGGAUGAGAAUGCACUUUUGUGCUUCCUCACUUCUGCCUGGUCUGGGAGGCGGGAGCAUGAAGGCUUUUUUUCAUGACUAUGCUUUUGCUUUCUGAUGGUCACUUUGCUAAUGAGCAGGAUUUGGCAGUGUCCUGUUGAGUCCCAUGGGUGAAGCCCUUUGGGUUGGUGUCAAAUGUGUCACCUUAUUGAUGCAGAGAAGAAGCAGCCGCAGUGGUUCAGAAGCACCGCGAGCCGCCCCGACCCACCACUGGGGUUUCCCAGCACCCAGCGCAGCCCGGCAGCGGCAGAGCCCUCUCUCCCCUCCAGCCAUGGGUGGGGAUGUACCCCAGCCAUAAAAGCCAGGACAUCAUGUCCCUUGCUUAAACACCGCGUGGGUGUGUGUUUGCUUGCGUGUAAAUGCAAACAUACUUGUGGCAUGUCUGUACACCCGGCUGCCUGGGCUCAUCGUGAAACCCUGUCCUCAGCCGUGGUAUCUUCUUGCAGGCAGAGGUUGUUUGUCAGUCAAACGCAGAGCUAGGGUGCAGCUACCUGGUUGUAUAAGCAUCCUACUUGGCAAGGGAUCAUGAGGGUGAGCCUGAGAUGGGCUGGUGUGGCUGUUGCGCUGGGAGAGGAGGGUUUGGGAUGGGAAGGUUAAUAACUUGUCCUGUGUACCAGAUAAAGGGAUGGGCUCCUUGUCUCAGGUGCAGCUGCACUCAGACAGUGAAAGGAGGUCCCCACCACCUCUCACAUCAGCCAGCCCUGGCUGCACACAGGUGAAGACUCCUUUGGUUUUUCAAGCUUUUUCCAGCCCAUGAGGGGAAGUGGUGAGUUGCCGGUAUUAUAAAAGGCACAGCUGAGGCAUCCAUGUUGCUGCAUGACUCCAGCAGCUCGGCGUGGAAGGGGCAGCAGGUGGGCUGGGGUCAGGCUCUGCCCUGUGCGUGGCAGGGGGUGCAGAGUGGGGGCACCCCUGGCUCUGGGCAAUCUGCUGGGGUGCUCGGGGCUGGAAGUGUCUGCCCAUCAGCUGGGCACACAGCUUUUGUCUGGGUUCAGCUGGUGGAUGGGGAAGAGUAGUCACCCCCUGCCCCCCCCAAAACACCCCUCCACCACCGGCACCUUGUGCAGAAAGAGGCACCUUCCCAGGGCGGCAGGGGGAAGCCUGAGACCAUCUUGGCUACUGACCCAACUGAGCAUUGCAGAAGUGUCAGAAAAUGCAGAACUGUCUAAAAGCUCUGAAAAACACGUCCAGUGCCUGUUGGCAUCGCUCCCUGGCCAGGCAUGGCUGCAGGGUGCUGUGUGUGCCCUCCCCCAGGGGCUCCCCAGCACCACCAGGAAAGGUCUCUCUGGUCUCUGUGAUGGUGGCACCUCCUCCCUCGCCCUCCAUUUCCUCCUUGGCCCGGAGUUGCUGCUUCUGCCUCACCCUCCCUCCUGCUUUCCUUGUCCUGCAAGAUGCUGCCGAGCUCCUAGGAGAGCGGGAUGCUCUGUAGGAGGGUCACACACGGGCUUCCCCUGCAAAGCGGUUUCCAUGAGGCACGCAGCAGGCAGAGGGGUGCUGGUGUCAAGGCAGUGGGUACUGGGGACAGACGGGUGUGAUGGGGGGGCCAAGAACAAUGUGGUGGCCACCGGUGCCCAGCCGUGAUCUGUACCCAGCCUGCCACGGGGCAGCUGAGCCCCAGGCUUGACGGGACGAGCCCUCAGGCAGCCCUUGGCUGGUGUCUGCUCCGGGUGAGCUCAUUUCAAGGUUCAUUUGUAAGACAGCACCAUGGUGAAAAAGAAGGGCAGCUUUUGCUGUAAACAGUUAUUUUACACCUCUCAGUCAGGGCAAAGGCCUUUAUUUUGGAGGCAGGAGGGGUGCGGGCGGGAACACUGCCCUGGCUUUGGGGGAAGGCUGACAUCUGUGCUGGGGAUUGUGGGGACCCAACCGGCCCAUGCAAAUGAGCAUUAAAGGGAGCUUUCUGCAAAUUCCUGCUUUCCUUUUGCAUUGGCCACUGCCAGGUUUCCCUGAAAAGGGGAUUCUCCUUCAUCAACAAAGCCUGCCUUUUUUUCCUGGGCUUUCUGAAGAAAAAAAAAAAAAAAAAGGAAAAAGAAAAGGGUCAGCACUGCCUGGAGUUUUCUUUUUUUGCUAUUUGUCUACAUUUCACACCCUGGAGAAAGCAAACAACUUUUAACAUCUGUUCCUGCACUUUUUAAGAGGGAAAGAAAGGCUCUUGAAAAAAGGGAAAGUGUGGCAGAUGUUGGCAGGUUCCCUCCGACGCAGAUGUCUUGCUCUGAAGAAAACUUUCUUUGGGGCUUGGCGGCCAGGGCUCCUCUUUGACUCGGGACACGCGACUGCCUAGCGAACGAAGGGACGUGGGAAAGUGCUGGUGAACAAAAGGGGUUAUUCAAACAAACCUGAGAGCCGUGAACAAUCUAAUAACCAGCAGAGAAAUGGUCAGCGGCCCCCAGUCCUACUGGGGAGGGGUUCAGGGCAGCCAGGGGCCACGGGAUGAGGGAAUUUUGCCACGUCCUUAGGGCUGUGAGCAGCAUUGUCCCCUCCUUAGCCCUGUCUGCUCCCUCUGGGUCAUCCAACAUGGUGCUUUGGCCAAGGACCAUCCUUCUCGAGGUGCUAAAUGCUCUCAGCUGGUCUGUGCAGGAGCUGGCUGCCCCAUGGCCGAAGCAGGGGAGAUGGAAGGCAGGUACCUGCCAGCCUGGGCUGUCCCAAAUGCACCAGCCAAGGCAGCGCAAGAAACCACAGGACAGAAAGGAUGUGGCAGGACACAGCAUCAUGGUAGACAAAUUUUACUUUUAAAUAGGAGGUUCUGAAAAGAUAAUAAUUAAAAAAAAAAAUAAAAUCCCAACCCUAUUGAUUAGGACCCAUUGAAAGAUCCUUGUGAAACUGAUUUUGAGGAAAGAUUUUUUUUUUUAAUGGAAAGCAAAAAUAUCGAGGAAAAAAGUAUUUUCUGUGAACCUUUUCUUCACCCUUUCCCCUUCUCUCUGGCUAAUAAAAUAAAAUGUUUUAAAAUAAGUUUUUGCUAUGAAAGCUGGUAAUAUUUCAGUUUAGGCACUUCGUAAGAAAAGGUGAGAAGCCAAGAGAAAAGGGAGCAGAGCCAAGAAAAUUCCUAUAAGAAAGUAAUUAAUUCCAGUUUGCUGUUAAAGCCAAGGAGCUCUGUGAUGAUUCCUCUGAUUCCUGCAUGCUUAGUUCUGCCCCAUUUCUGUCCCAGUCUGUUUUCUCUGCAGGAAGGAUGCUGCAUGUCACCAGAGACCCGUGUGCCUGCCCAGGCUGCUCCCUCCUGUCUCUUGCCACUCGGGGCGAUGCUGUGGACACCAGCUCACAAGCUGGCAGGACUACCUGGUGGGCAGCUGCCAGCUGGGUGGAGGGGAUGCUCAGGGUGUCCUGCCUCCUCCAGCCCUUCCAGCUGAGAGUUGUCCGAGAGCUCAGCCCUGAUGCAGCAGAUGCCAUCCAUGAAGAGAUGUGGGAUCUAAGGCACCAUCAGAGCUUCCAGCAGGAGCAGCUGCGGUUGUGGUGGGGAAGGCUGCUCCAGAGACCCUCUGCAUUGAAAGGUUGUAUCUGUUAAAUCCUCGAGGCCGGGGUGACGCUGCCUGUACCGGGUCAUGGUUUUUGGCAGAGAACUGCAAGGCAUUGUGGUUUGUGGCUGCGUGAGAUUUGUGUGGCAAGUGGGGAAGAGGCAGAAGGGAUCUGGAGAUGAGUCUUGAUGUCUGUGGUUGAGUGGUGGCCUAUUAAAGCAAUGUCCUACACAAUUCACCAUGGUGUAGGCAGGGCUAGGAACACAGUUGAAGGUUCACCUGCUCCAGAGACACAGGUGGAGAGAGAGAGAGGACAGUGCUACCUGCAGUAUUUUCAUCAUAGGGGGAGUCCAGCUUCAGAAGUGGCAUUGGACAUUUUCUGGAAAUGUCACUGAUGUUUCUUAAUCCAGCUCCUUUACUGAGUGCACCAAACCUUGCUAGCCCUAGCUCGGCUUCCUCAGUACCAGCUGGCUCUACCACCUUUGGGAGUGGACUCCUGGGAUAGGAAAUAAUUACAUGGCUCAUACCAGCUGAGUAACUCUCAGCUUUUCUUUCGCAGUGCCCUUCCAGCCUUCAUGUUAAGGAUCAGCUGAUGCUCCUGCCAUUGCUCAAGACAUCUCCUGUCUGGCAGGUUAGCAGUGCUCCCAGCCCCAGAGGAUGCCUUAUCUACUGCUUCACAGCCAGAAAGCUGCUGCUUGCAACAUGGCUCCUGAGCCAAGAGGCCUUAUAGGAAGAAGAAAAUCUGAUAAGCCAUGUAGGUGGUGACACACUGAUAAGGGUUAGCCCCUCGUGUGGGCCAAAGCCAUGGUACGAGGGGCGAGAGGUGGGUGUUGUGGAGAGGGUGUAGGGGGCUUUGAGGGGCUAUUCAGGGGGGUUCUUGAACUUUCCUCACCAGGCACCCUAGAAGUUGUUUCAUUCAGUAGGGUAGAUCUGGGAUUUUUCACACUCUCUCUAUGUGUAACGUUACCAGAUGUCCCCUGAUAACAAGCCUCAUCUAUAAGGCAGCAAGCACUUGGUUUGUUCAGUAACCUUCAUGUGCACAGCAAUGCCUAUGUGGGUGUCUGGCUCCCCAAAUACCAGAAACUGGGGCUCAGCACCCCAACCCCAGCUCCUGUACAUGGCACACAGUGUGUUUCUUCUUAGGUUCUCUGUUCCUGAAGCUGCAGAAGGGUCUGGGUUAAGUUUCACCUUUGUGAGACAAAUAUCUCUUCUGUGACUGUAAAUGCGGCUUUGUCCCGGCUUGGCCACGUGCCAGUAGCAGCUUUCUUUUUAUAGUACAUGUGCAUACGUGUACUGACACCACAUCCUGACCCCCUGACACAAAAUAUCUCAUGAGGAUGAUCAAGGCAGCGAGGCCAUCACCGUGGAUGCUCUGCGGGGAGGGUGACGUGCAGCCCGACCACCAGCAUCUGGUCCUGGGCCACAGGGAGUGGCUGUUGCUGUGGGGCAGCAGGAUGGCUGGGGGGGGCGCUGGGCUUAGCAGCAGCAUUUCUUGCAUGCUGCUCAUUUCUGGUGCUGCAGGGCUGGGAUUGCAGCACCCCAGGAAGUGGGGAAAUACUUGGGGUUUUUUUCACUUGCUGGUUCAGUCUCUGUGCAGCCCGGCUGCUGAGGGGACAGCAGGACAUACAAGGGUUUGGGAUGGGAGGGCAUGAGCCACAGGGUCUCUGGUCUUUGUGAGCCAAGUCUGACCUGGAUUGUACAUGAUAAUCACAUCCUUCUCUCUAAGCUACUUUUAAAAAAAAUCUUUAUUUUUAUACCUAAAUUUUUCACCUAUCAAAGCGAGACAAGUUUUAUACUGCUUUUUGUUUUAUAGAUACUCUCUGGUUUUAACCUUCUCUCUCUCUCCAAUUCCCCUACUUGUUUUUUUUCCCUCUUCAAAUAUCUGCAGGAGGCUCUCUUUUUUUAUUUUAUUUCUCUGGAGGAACCAAAGGGGGUGUAGGAAGUCCUGCUAGCUCUUGGGGCACACUUGCUCAGUGCAAGAAAGACCAGAGCCCCGAUGGGGUGAAGAGCAGGUGGGUGAUGCUCCACGGGCUGCUCUGUGAAGGGCAAAAGCAGAGCUUGCUCUUGCUUCAUCUUCUCCGUAACAAGGCAUGUAAAAAUAAUAACAGAAACCCCCCUGCCGCAACCUUUUUUUUCCUUGUCUAUUUUUAACACCAGGGGCUGUGCCCUGGGUUUGCUCCAUCAGAAAGCAAAAAGGGCCAUGACACAUGUGAGCUCUCCAAGGAGUUUUCCAGAAGAACACUUGUGAUCAGCUGAGUGCUCUGUUGUGUUUUAAAGGUGAUGUUUCCUCACUUCUCACCAUUCCUGGUGUGUGCGUAUACACAUGCACAGACAGCAACUUGCUUGCACACAGAACAUUUUCAGAAGAUACAAAUUUCACCACAGAAUAUAAAUUAACUCUCUUUUGGAGGUGAAUCCGGCUGAGCUGGGGGAAAGGGGCUCAGCCUUUCCCCAAACCAGUGCCCGGCUUGGAAGGUGGGGACGGGCAGAGCUCCGGAGUGCCCUUCUCCUCCAGAGCCAGGGAUCCCAUCAGGAGGAGGAGGAGGAGGAAGAAGAGGAAGAUGACAGGCACAGAAAAGCUUUGAAGAGUCUCAGGGAAGGUACCUGCAUGUAUCUGCUGGAGUGGCCCAAUAUAGAUUUUAGUGUCAAGUGGUAUGGCAAUGGUUCCUGUGUUGACUCAGCCCCACGCAGCUGAGACCCCAUCCAGCUGAAGAGCAGCACUAAGCCUGUGUUGAACAGGGUCAUUGCAGCAGUUUUUGGCUGUAAGAGCUAAUUAAUUCGUUUCUGCAAAGUCCUUUGAAGGAGUAAAGUACUAAGUAAGUGCAUAGCAGCAUCAUCCAGAGGGUGUGGGCUUCAAAGCUUAACAGGCACUACUUAAAUAGAACCGAGUUACUAAACUGGGUUCAUAAUUUCUUUAAAAUGUAAAAUAACAGGGAAAGCAUCUGAAAAAAAAAAUAAAAGAAAACAACACCAGUUUUUUUGGUAGUGUUGAGGCUGAGGAAGACUCACUAAAAGAAGCCAGCUCCCCAGAGGAUGAGCAAUUGUCUUCCAGUUCCCCUUCCCUGGCUUUCAACCUUAACCUGCUGACAUAAUCAGGAAAAACCUUUAUCCUUCCAUAAUUUUCCAUUUUAGAAUUCAUUCAGUAAAAGCGAGAGAAUAGAAGUGCUGAGAAAUAUAGAAGAAGAGCAGUCCAUUUAGGAAGAUCAGUGGGUAAAUUCAUGUUGGUGGAGGCGGUUCCUGCGGCACCUCUGCGGGAGCUCAGCCUCUGUUCCCAAAGCCUCAUUAAAUCUGUGGGUGGCAGCCAGCCCUGGCGUGGACACGUGGAGUGUGGCCGGCUCACUGCCAUGAUGCUCCUUCAGGCAUGUUGGGUGACCAGCGGAGCAAACUGUCACCUACCGAGAGCACCCAUGUGGGCAGGGUGAAAACUGAAGGCUCCUGCCAAUAUACGGAAUAUCCUUUUUAAUUGUUUUAGCAGUGUUCACAGCCUUGUGCCUUUCCUGCAUGAUUUGUAGAUGUAUUUGCUUCCUGUCCAGUUGAAUUAAUGGAUAUAUUUUACUGUUUUAUGUUUUGUUUUGUUGUUAACUCGGGAAAUACAUUCUUCUAUGGUGCUAUUUUUCAGGGUGACUUCUGUUAUUUCCUUCCUGUUUACCGAGCUGAUGGAAAUCUGGUUUUGACUUUAGCCAUAGAUUCUUGCUGGAAUGGAUGCUGCUCUUUAUAGAUGACUCUCAAUUGUGCCACAGUAAUAAAGAGUUUAUUAAAAGGACCUAGUUCUGCAGAGCAAUAUACCGCUCUUCUUGCUGUCCAGGAAAGGAACUUGCAAUAGUUUUUUUUCCCUAUGAUUCUUCUGGCAAUUUUUUUGUUUUCUUUUCUGACAAUCUUUACAUGCUUACACCCUUAGUUUUUGUGAUUUGCACUAAGAUUUAAAAAAUGUGUUUAAAUUUUGAAAUGGCACCUUGAAUUGAGGAUCAUAGCAUCCCUGUGAGGAAAAAAACAAACCAAACCAACAAGCCAACCAAAAACCAAUCAACCAAAAACCAAAAAAACCCAAACCAAAACAAACACAAACAAGCAAACAAAAAACAAACCACAAAUCCAUGGUUUGGAUGACAAUAAAAUUUAUUUGUGCUUUCUGCUGUAACUAGGUUUUGGAGGCUGUGAGUCUGUUCAUAAUGUAUGAAUUGAAUAAACUGAAAGGUAGCAAAAUGCUCACCCAGAGAUGUUUCUUUGGGAAAAGCUUCUAGAGUCUGCAGUGACCAUGCCUAGCCAGGAACGAGUGAAACGCAGUUUCAGGAACAGUCACAGGCACUUGUAAAACCUGGGUGAUUAAAUUCAGCCACUUCAGCUUGAUCCAAAGUCCACGGAAACACUCAGAAUUCUUUUUCUUCCAGACUUUAAGUAUAGGAUACCCAGCAUAAUAACUACAGUCAUCCCUACUCCUCAUAUUUUCUCCCCAAAGCCUUUUCCCUUUCACUUUAUCAGGGACCAGGAAUCCGGGCUCCAGUCUCUGAAUCACACCCGUGCAUGCCCAUGCCUGAUUAAAACAUAAACUAAUGUUUGUUA